AAAUUGAAGAGUUUGAUCAUGGCUCAGAUUGAACGCUGGCGGCAGGCCUAACACAUGCAAGUCGAACGGUAACAGAAAGCAGCUUGCUGCUUUGCUGACGAGUGGCGGACGGGUGAGUAAUGUCUGGGAAACUGCCCGAUGGAGGGGGAUAACUACUGGAAACGGUAGCUAAUACCGCAUAACGUCGCAAGACCAAAGAGGGGGACCUUCGGGCCUCUUGCCAUCGGAUGUGCCCAGAUGGGAUUAGCUAGUAGGUGGGGUAACGGCUCACCUAGGCGACGAUCCCUAGCUGGUCUGAGAGGAUGACCAGCCACACUGGAACUGAGACACGGUCCAGACUCCUACGGGAGGCAGCAGUGGGGAAUAUUGCACAAUGGGCGCAAGCCUGAUGCAGCCAUGCCGCGUGUAUGAAGAAGGCCUUCGGGUUGUAAAGUACUUUCAGCGGGGAGGAAGGGAGUAAAGUUAAUACCUUUGCUCAUUGACGUUACCCGCAGAAGAAGCACCGGCUAACUCCGUGCCAGCAGCCGCGGUAAUACGGAGGGUGCAAGCGUUAAUCGGAAUUACUGGGCGUAAAGCGCACGCAGGCGGUUUGUUAAGUCAGAUGUGAAAUCCCCGGGCUCAACCUGGGAACUGCAUCUGAUACUGGCAAGCUUGAGUCUCGUAGAGGGGGGUAGAAUUCCAGGUGUAGCGGUGAAAUGCGUAGAGAUCUGGAGGAAUACCGGUGGCGAAGGCGGCCCCCUGGACGAAGACUGACGCUCAGGUGCGAAAGCGUGGGGAGCAAACAGGAUUAGAUACCCUGGUAGUCCACGCCGUAAACGAUGAGUGCUAAGUGUUGGAGGGUUUCCGCCCUUCAGUGCUGCAGCUAACGCAUUAAGCACUCCGCCUGGGGAGUACGACCGCAAGGUUGAAACUCAAAGGAAUUGACGGGGGCCCGCACAAGCGGUGGAGCAUGUGGUUUAAUUCGAUGCAACGCGAAGAACCUUACCUGGUCUUGACAUCCACGGAAGUUUUCAGAGAUGAGAAUGUGCCUUCGGGAACCGUGAGACAGGUGCUGCAUGGCUGUCGUCAGCUCGUGUUGUGAAAUGUUGGGUUAAGUCCCGCAACGAGCGCAACCCUUAUCCUUUGUUGCCAGCGGUCCGGCCGGGAACUCAAAGGAGACUGCCAGUGAUAAACUGGAGGAAGGUGGGGAUGACGUCAAGUCAUCAUGGCCCUUACGACCAGGGCUACACACGUGCUACAAUGGCGCAUACAAAGAGAAGCGACCUCGCGAGAGCAAGCGGACCUCAUAAAGUGCGUCGUAGUCCGGAUUGGAGUCUGCAACUCGACUCCAUGAAGUCGGAAUCGCUAGUAAUCGUGGAUCAGAAUGCCACGGUGAAUACGUUCCCGGGCCUUGUACACACCGCCCGUCACACCAUGGGAGUGGGUUGCAAAAGAAGUAGGUAGCUUAACCUUCGGGAGGGCGCUUACCACUUUGUGAUUCAUGACUGGGGUGAAGUCGUAACAAGGUAACCGUAGGGGAACCUGCGGUUGGAUCACCUCCUUACCUUAAAGAAGC
rnacentral:rRNA from 1 species